rnacentral:lncRNA from 1 species
GUGCACCGCCAGCACACCGCACUCGUCAAAGAGCCGCACGGCGACGGCCUCGAACAGGUCAUAGUCGUCGUCGCUGUCGGCGCGCACCAGUAUGCGGCGCGCGGCGGGGUCGCGAUCGAGCGCGUCGCAGAUCUGCGCCGUCAGCGCGUCCACUCGCAUGUCAAAGGCCUCGUCUCGGCCCAUGUCCAUUAUUGUCGGUUGUCGUUGCGACCGCGCGCUGCUGUUCUCUCUCUCUCGCUCUCUUUCUUUGUUGUUUCUUUAUCUCUUUCUUGCCGUAUUUUUGGUCUCGUGUCGCGUUGUCGGCGGCCUCCCUUGGAGUGAAGGGCACCACAAGCCCACACCGGGCGCAUGUCUUGGGCACGCCGCGCACGCGCGCACACACACGGCAAGCCUCUGCCGCACGGGGGCGCUUUCGCCUCGCCGAAAAUGUAUUUUAGGGAAAAAAACAAAAAAAGAAAGGGGAAUAGACGUAAAGAAAAAGAAAACCCAAAAAAAGGC